UACGUAGGGUGCAAGCGUUAAUCGGAAUUACUGGGCGUAAAGCGUGCGCAGGCGGUUUUGUAAGUCAGAUGUGAAAUCCCCGGGCUUAACCUGGGAACUGCGUUUGAAACUACAAGGCUAGAGUGUGGCAGAGGGGGGUGGAAUUCCACGUGUAGCAGUGAAAUGCGUAGAGAUGUGGAGGAGCACCGAUGGCGAAGGCAGCCCCCUGGGCCAAUACUGACGCUCAUGCACGAAAGCGUGGGGAGCAAACAGG
rnacentral:rRNA from 1 species